rnacentral:siRNA from 1 species
UUCAACAAUGAAGGAUUGCUA